rnacentral:tRNA from 1 species
GGUCCCGUAGUCCAACGGAUAGGACGAUGGCCUCCGAAGCCGUAGGUCCAGGUUCGAUUCCUGGCGGGACCACCA